rnacentral:rRNA from 1 species
UAGGGAAUCUUCGGCAAUGGGGGCAACCCUGACCGAGCAACGCCGCGUGAGUGAAGAAGGUUUUCGGAUCGUAAAGCUCUGUUGUAAGAGAAGAACGUGUGUGAGAGUGGAAAGUUCACACAGUGACGGUAACUUACCAGAAAGGGACGGCUAACUACGUACAG